AAAUUGAAGAGUUUGAUCAUGGCUCAGAUUGAACGCUGGCGGCAGGCCUAACACAUGCAAGUCGAACGGUAACAGGAAGCAGCUUGCUGCUUCGCUGACGAGUGGCGGACGGGUGAGUAAUGUCUGGGAAACUGCCUGAUGGAGGGGGAUAACUACUGGAAACGGUGGCUAAUACCGCAUAACGUCGCAAGACCAAAGAGGGGGACCUUCGGGCCUCUUGCCAUCAGAUGUGCCCAGAUGGGAUUAGCUUGUUGGUGAGGUAACGGCUCACCAAGGCGACGAUCCCUAGCUGGUCUGAGAGGAUGACCAGCCACACUGGAACUGAGACACGGUCCAGACUCCUACGGGAGGCAGCAGUGGGGAAUAUUGCACAAUGGGCGCAAGCCUGAUGCAGCCAUGCCGCGUGUAUGAAGAAGGCCUUCGGGUUGUAAAGUACUUUCAGCGGGGAGGAAGGUGUUGUGGUUAAUAACCGCAGCAAUUGACGUUACCCGCAGAAGAAGCACCGGCUAACUCCGUGCCAGCAGCCGCGGUAAUACGGAGGGUGCAAGCGUUAAUCGGAAUUACUGGGCGUAAAGCGCACGCAGGCGGUCUGUCAAGUCGGAUGUGAAAUCCCCGGGCUCAACCUGGGAACUGCAUUCGAAACUGGCAGGCUUGAGUCUUGUAGAGGGGGGUAGAAUUCCAGGUGUAGCGGUGAAAUGCGUAGAGAUCUGGAGGAAUACCGGUGGCGAAGGCGGCCCCCUGGACAAAGACUGACGCUCAGGUGCGAAAGCGUGGGGAGCAAACAGGAUUAGAUACCCUGGUAGUCCACGCCGUAAACGAUGUCUACUUGGAGGUUGUGCCCUUGAGGCGUGGCUUCCGGAGCUAACGCGUUAAGUAGACCGCCUGGGGAGUACGGCCGCAAGGUUAAAACUCAAAUGAAUUGACGGGGGCCCGCACAAGCGGUGGAGCAUGUGGUUUAAUUCGAUGCAACGCGAAGAACCUUACCUGGUCUUGACAUCCACAGAACUUUCCAGAGAUGGAUUGGUGCCUUCGGGAACUGUGAGACAGGUGCUGCAUGGCUGUCGUCAGCUCGUGUUGUGAAAUGUUGGGUUAAGUCCCGCAAC
rnacentral:rRNA from 1 species